GUGUCAGCAGCCGCGGUAAUACGUAGGGACCAAGCGUUGUUCGGAUUUACUGGGCGUAAAGGGCGCGUAGGCGGCAUGACAAGUCACUUGUGAAAUCUCCGGGCUUAACUCGGAACGGUCAAGUGAUACUGUCGCGCUAGAGUGCGGAAGGGGCAAUCAGAAUUCUUGGUGUAGCGGUGAAAUGCGUAGAUAUCAAGAGGAAUACCUGAGGUGAAGACGGGUUGCUAGGCCGACACUGACGCUGAAGCGCGAAAGCCAGGGGAGCAAACGGGAUUAGAUACCCCGGUAGUCC
rnacentral:rRNA from 1 species